rnacentral:rRNA from 1 species
AACGCGAAGAACCUUACCAGGCCUUGACAUCCUGAGAACCCUCCAGAGAAGGAGGGGUGCCCUUCGGGGAGCUCAACACACAGGUGCUGCAUGGCUGUCGUCAGCUCGUGUCGUGAGAUGUUCGGUUAAGUCCGGCAACGAGCGCAACCCUCGCCAUUAGUUGCCAGCAUUUCGGAUGGCCACUCUAGUGGGACUGCCUAUGAAAGUAGGAGGAAGGCGGGGAUGAUGUCUAGUCAGCAUGGUCCUUACGGCCUGGGCGACACACGUGCUACAAUGGCCGGUACAACGGGCUGCCACCUCGCGAGAGGGAGCUAAUCCUUAAAGCCGGUCCCAGUUCAGAUUGCAGUCUGCAACUCGACUGCCUGAAGUUGGAAUCGCUAGUAAUCGCGGAUCAGCCAUGCCGCGGUGAAUACUUUCCCGGGUCUUGUACACACCG